CCAAAACUCAAAAGAAGACACAUUAACAGAGAUUACAAUUCUGUGUUUUAGAGAUUCCUCCUUCAAGAUCUUCCAUGUACACAUCUGUACUUGAUUUAUCUCAAAUUCUCAAGGUCUCAUAGGAGCCCUUAGACAAAGAUUAGUCUCAAAGGAGGUUCUAGUGCGUGGUAAAUCAAGAGAAAAACAAAGCAACCAUAAUUUCUGAAAAAUGAGCUUUACCAAAAUUAAAGAUCUCACACAAAGAGUUUAUAUAAACUCGCUUUCUUUCAGUUUUACUUAGAUGCAAUUCCAAAUAUUUCAGAUCUGUAGCAAAUCUAUCAUUUUUUUCUCAGAUUCAGGUAUCUUGCUCUUCAGUAAUGUCUCUGAUGUCACUGUAAAGCUAGACUAACACAAUAUUAGUGUUAUGAAGCAAAAUAAACGAUCUUACAAAAAGUAAAAAUGUGUAGAAUUUAAAGAUUGAACACGAGAAUCCUUUUGACCUAAUACUCGGAGAGAUGUGACCACAUCCAACCCUUAUAUCCUCCGUUCAGCAUCCAAUAAAUUGGAUUAUGCUUGGUUGCAUUAGAUAGCCCAAAAUAAUAACAAAAGCCACAAAGGUUUAACCAAUGCAUAGAGAUAGCACAAAAACACUUAUCUCUCAAAAACAAUUGCAGAUCUAUGAAGAAUCGCCAAAAAUCUUCUCAAAUUCCUUUGAAACAAUAACUUGAAAGAUCCCUUUCAUUCUUACAAACAUUCACUUAGAAUAUCACAAAUCAGAGGCUAAAU
rnacentral:lncRNA from 1 species